UCAAGUGAAGAAGCGCAUACGGUGGAUGCCUUGGCAGUCAGAGGCGAUGAAAGACGUGGUAGCCUGCGAAAAGCUUCGGGGAGUCGGCAAACAGACUUUGAUCCGGAGAUGUCUGAAUGGGGGAACCCAGCCAUCAUAAGAUGGUUAUCUUGUACUGAAUACAUAGGUGCAAGAGGCGAACCAGGGGAACUGAAACAUCUAAGUACCCUGAGGAAAAGAAAUCAACCGAGAUUCCCUUAGUAGUGGCGAGCGAACGGGGACUAGCCCUUAAGUGGCUUUGAGAUUAGCGGAACGCUCUGGAAAGUGCGGCCAUAGUGGGUGAUAGCCCUGUACGCGAAAAUCUCUUGGUCAUGAAAUCGAGUAGGACGGAGCACGAGAAACUUUGUCUGAAUAUGGGGGGACCAUCCUCCAAGGCUAAAUACUACUGACUGACCGAUAGUGAACUAGUACCGUGAGGGAAAGGCGAAAAGAACCCCGGAGAGGGGAGUGAAAUAGAUCCUGAAACCGUAUGCGUACAAGCAGUGGGAGCCCACUUUGUUGGGUGACUGCGUACCUUUUGUAUAAUGGGUCAGCGACUUAUUUUCAGUGGCGAGCUUAACCGAAUAGGGGAGGCGUAGCGAAAGCGAGUCUUAAUAGGGCGUCUAGUCGCUGGGAAUAGACCCGAAACCGGGCGAUCUAUCCAUGGGCAGGUUGAAGGUUAGGUAACACUGACUGGAGGACCGAACCGACUACCGUUGAAAAGUUAGCGGAUGACCUGUGGAUCGGAGUGAAAGGCUAAUCAAGCUCGGAGAUAGCUGGUUCUCCUCGAAAGCUAUUUAGGUAGCGCCUCAUGUAUCACUGUAGGGGGUAGAGCACUGUUUCGGCUAGGGGGUCAUCCCGACUUACCAAACCGAUGCAAACUCCGAAUACCUACAAGUGCCGAGCAUGGGAGACACACGGCGGGUGCUAACGUCCGUCGUGAAAAGGGAAACAACCCAGACCGUCAGCUAAGGUCCCAAAGUUAUGGUUAAGUGGGAAACGAUGUGGGAAGGCUUAGACAGCUAGGAGGUUGGCUUAGAAGCAGCCACCCUUUAAAGAAAGCGUAAUAGCUCACUAGUCGAGUCGGCCUGCGCGGAAGAUGUAACGGGGCUCAAACCAUACACCGAAGCUACGGGUAUCACUUAGGUGAUGCGGUAGAGGAGCGUUCUGUAAGCCUGUGAAGGUGAGUUGAGAAGCUUGCUGGAGGUAUCAGAAGUGCGAAUGCUGACAUGAGUAACGACAAUGGGUGUGAAAAACACCCACGCCGAAAGACCAAGGUUUCCUGCGCAACGUUAAUCGACGCAGGGUUAGUCGGUCCCUAAGGCGAGGCUGAAAAGCGUAGUCGAUGGAAAACAGGUUAAUAUUCCUGUACUUCUGGUUAUUGCGAUGGAGGGACGGAGAAGGCUAGGCCAGCUUGGCGUUGGUUGUCCAAGUUUAAGGUGGUAGGCUGAGAUCUUAGGUAAAUCCGGGAUCUUAAGGCCGAGAGCUGAUGACGAGUUACCCUUUGGGUGACGAAGUGGUUGAUGCCAUGCUUCCAAGAAAAGCUUCUAAGCUUCAGGUAACCAGGAACCGUACCCCAAACCGACACAGGUGGUUGGGUAGAGAAUACCAAGGCGCUUGAGAGAACUCGGGUGAAGGAACUAGGCAAAAUGGCACCGUAACUUCGGGAGAAGGUGCGCCGGUGAGGGUGAAGGACUUGCUCCGUAAGCUCAUGCCGGUCGAAGAUACCAGGCCGCUGCGACUGUUUAUUAAAAACACAGCACUCUGCAAACACGAAAGUGGACGUAUAGGGUGUGACGCCUGCCCGGUGCCGGAAGGUUAAUUGAUGGGGUUAGCUAACGCGAAGCUCUUGAUCGAAGCCCCGGUAAACGGCGGCCGUAACUAUAACGGUCCUAAGGUAGCGAAAUUCCUUGUCGGGUAAGUUCCGACCUGCACGAAUGGCGUAACGAUGGCGGCGCUGUCUCCACCCGAGACUCAGUGAAAUUGAAAUCGCUGUGAAGAUGCAGUGUAUCCGCGGCUAGACGGAAAGACCCCGUGAACCUUUACUAUAGCUUUGCACUGGACUUUGAAUUUGCUUGUGUAGGAUAGGUGGGAGGCUUUGAAGCGUGGACGCCAGUUCGCGUGGAGCCAUCCUUGAAAUACCACCCUGGCAACUUUGAGGUUCUAACUCAGGUCCGUUAUCCGGAUCGAGGACAGUGUAUGGUGGGUAGUUUGACUGGGGCGGUCUCCUCCUAAAGAGUAACGGAGGAGUACGAAGGUGCGCUCAGACCGGUCGGAAAUCGGUCGUAGAGUAUAAAGGCAAAAGCGCGCUUGACUGCGAGACAGACACGUCGAGCAGGUACGAAAGUAGGUCUUAGUGAUCCGGUGGUUCUGUAUGGAAGGGCCAUCGCUCAACGGAUAAAAGGUACUCCGGGGAUAACAGGCUGAUACCGCCCAAGAGUUCAUAUCGACGGCGGUGUUUGGCACCUCGAUGUCGGCUCAUCACAUCCUGGGGCUGAAGCCGGUCCCAAGGGUAUGGCUGUUCGCCAUUUAAAGUGGUACGCGAGCUGGGUUUAGAACGUCGUGAGACAGUUCGGUCCCUAUCUGCCGUGGACGUUUGAGAUUUGAGAGGGGCUGCUCCUAGUACGAGAGGACCGGAGUGGACGAACCUCUGGUGUUCCGGUUGUCACGCCAGUGGCAUUGCCGGGUAGCUAUGUUCGGGAAAGAUAACCGCUGAAAGCAUCUAAGCGGGAAACUUGCCUCAAGAUGAGAUCUCACUGGAACCUUGAGUUCCCUGAAGGGCCGUCGAAGACUACGACGUUGAUAGGUUGGGUGUGUAAGCGCUGUGAGGCGUUGAGCUAACCAAUACUAAUUGCCCGUGAGGCUUGACC
rnacentral:rRNA from 1 species